CUACACAAGAGUCUGGUCUGGAUACUGUGAGUACCACGCGCUAGCUUUACUGACCCUGGACUAGACAAGAGUCUGGUCUGGAUAUUGUGAGUACCACACGCUAGGUUUACUGAUCCGGAACUACACAAGAGUCUGGUCUGGAUACUGUGAGUACCACACGCUAGCUUUACUGAUCCUGGACUAGACAAGAGUGUGGUCUGGAUACUGUGAGUACCACGCGCACUAGCUUUACUGAUCCUGGACUAGACAAGAGUCUGGUCUGGAUACUGUGAGUACCACACGCUAGCUUUACUGAUCCGGAACUACACAAGAGUCUGGUCUGGAUACUGUGAGUACCACGCGCUAGCUUUACUGAUCCUGGACUAGACAAGAGUCUGGUCUGGAUACUGUGAGUACCACGCGCUAGCUUUACUGAUCCUGGACUAGACAAGAGUCUGGUCUGGAUACUGUGAGUACCACACGCUAGCUUUACUGACCCUGGACUAGACUAGAGUCUGGUCUGGAUACUGUGAGUACCACACGCUAGUAAUUACACUAGCUUUACUGAUCCGGAACUACACAAGAGUCUGGUCUGGAUACUGUGAGUACCACGCGCUAGCUUUACUGAUCCUGGACUAGACUAGAGUCUGGUCUGGAUACUGUGAGUACCACGAGCUAGGUUUACUGACCCUGGACUAGACAAGAGUCUGGUCUGGAUACUGUGAGUACCACACGCUAGCUUUACUGACCCUGGACUAGACUAGAGUCUGGUCUGGAUACUGUGAGUACCACGAGCUAGGUUUACUGAUCCGGAACUACACAAGAGUCUGGUCUGGAUACUGUGAGUACCACACACUAGGUUUACUGAUCCGGGACUAGACAAGAGUCUGGUCUGGAUACUGUGAGUACCACGCGCUAGCUUUACUGAUCCUGGACUAGACAAGAGUCUGGUCUGGAUACUGUGAGUACCACGCGCUAGCUUUACUGAUCCGGAACUACACAAGAGUCUGGUCUGGAUACUGUGAGUACCACACGCUAGCUUUACUGACCCUGGACUAGACAAGAGUCUGGUCUGGAUACUGUGAGUACCACGCGCUAGCUUUACUGACCCUGGACUAGACUAGAGUCUGGUCUGGAUACUGUGAGUACCACGCGCUAGCUUUACUGACCCUGGACUAGACAAGAGUCUGGUCUGGAUACUGUGAGUACCACACGCUAGCUUUACUGAUCCGGAACUACACAAGAGUCUGGUCUGGAUACUGUGAGUACCACGCGCUAGCUUUACUGAUCCUGGACUAGACUAGAGUCUGGUCUGGAUACUGUGAGUACCACACACUAGCUUUACUGACCCUGGACUAGACAAGAGUCUGGUCUGGAUACUGUGAGUACCACACGCUAGUAAUUACACUAGCUUUACUGAUCCUGGACUAGACAAGAGUCUGGUCUGGAUACUGUGAGUACCACGCACUAGCUUUACUGACCCUGGACUAGACGAGAGUCUGGUCUGGAUACUGUGAGUACCACGCACUCUGGUCUGGAUACUGUGAGUACCACACACUAGCUUUACUGACCCUGGACUACACAAGAGUCUGGUCUGGAUACUGUGAGUACCACACGCUAGCUUUACUGACCC
rnacentral:lncRNA from 1 species